UAAUACGGAGGAGGCAAGCGUUAUCCGGAAUUAUUGGGCGUAAAGCGUCCGUAGGUGGAUGAGUAAGUCUGCUGUUAAAGCGUGGGGCUUAACUCCAUAAGGGCAGUGGAAACUACUUUUCUAGAGUGCGACAGGGGCAAGGGGAAUUUCCAGUGUAGCGGUGAAAUGCGUAGAGAUUGGAAAGAACACCGGUGGCGAAAGCGCCUUGCUGGGUCUGCACUGACACUGAGGGACGAAAGCUAGGGGAGCGAAAGGGAUUAGAUACCCCUGUAGUCUUAGCUGUAAACGAUGGGUACUAGGCGUUGUCCGUAUCGACCCGGGCAGUGCCGUAGCUAACGCGUUAAGUACCCCGCCUGGGGAGUACGCUCGCAAGAGUG
rnacentral:rRNA from 1 species